GGUAGUAAGAGCCGAUGAAGGACGUGGUAAGCUGCGAUAAGCCUAGAUAAGUUGCAAACGAACGUAAGAGUCUAGGAUUUCCGAAUGGAGCAAUCUAUUAAGAUGAAGUCUUAAUACGAAAGAGGGAACCGCGUGAACUGAAACAUCUAAGUAACGCGAGGAAAAGAAAGUAAAAACGAUACCCAAAGUAGCGGCGAGCGAAAUGGGUCAAGCCUAAACCUUAAACGUGUCAAGGAUACAGCCGUUGCGUUUAAGGGGUUGAGGGACAGAGUGCUGAAGAACUGUAAGCUAUUCAAUAUUGUAUAUCGCUUAACUAGAAUUAUCUGGAAAGGUAAACCGUAGAAGGUGAAAGUCCUGUAUGGGUACUCCGAUAUACGUAUAACUUUGAUCCCAAGUAACAUGGAACACGAGGAAUUCUGUGUGAAUCAGUGAGGACCAUAUCUCAUAAGGCUAAAUACUCUUACUAACCGAUAGCGCAUAGUACCGUGAGGGAAAGGUGAAAAGAACCCCGGGAGGGGAGUGAAAUAGAACCUGAAAUUGUGUGCUUACAAGCGGUCAGAGCCAGUAAUGGUGAUGGCGUGCCUUUUGGAGAAUGAUCCUGCGAGUUACGUUAAACGGCGAGGUUAAGUAUAACGGAGCCGUAGGGAAACCGAGUCUUAAUAGGGCGAUUUAGUCGUUUGGCGUAGACGCGAAACCUGGUGAUCUAAACCUGUCCAGGAUGAAGCUGUGGUAAGACACAGUGGAGGUCCUAACCCACCGCCGUUGAAAAGUUGGGGGAUGAGGUAGGUUUAGGGGUGAAAAGCCAAUCGAACCAGGAGAUAGCUCGUUCUCUCCGAAAUGCAUCUAGGUGCAGCCUUGAGUGUUCAAUUAUGGGGGUAGAGCACUGAAUGAUCUAGGGGGCGUAUUGCUUACUGAAAUCAAUCAAACUCCGAAUACCAUAAUUUAAAAGCUCAGGAGUGAGACCAUGGGAGUUAACUUCCAUCGUCGAAAGGGAAACAACCCAGACCACCAGCUAAGGUCCCUAAUUAUAACUAAGUGGGAAAGGAGGUGGAGAUUCACAAACAACUAGGAGGUUGGCUUAGAAGCAGCCACACCUUUAAAGAGUGCGUAAUAGCUCACUAGUCGAGAGUCUCUGCGCCGACAAUGUAACGGGGCUAAGUUAUAAACCGAAGCUGUGGAAUCCGUAAGGAUUGGUAGGAGAGCGUUCUGUAGGCCGUUGAAGGAGAAGGGUAACCGACUUUGGAGGUAUCAGAAGUGAGAAUGCAGGAAUAAGUAGCGAGAAAGGGGGCGAGAAUCCCCCUCGCCGGAAGACCAAGGUUUUCAGGGUAAAGCUUGUCUUCCCUGAGUAAGCCGGGACCUAAGCCCAGGCUAUAAUGCGUAGGCGAAUGGAAAACAGAUUAAUAUUUCUGUGCCAGUCAUUUAUUGUGAUGGAGGGACGCAGAAGGGUAUGCGCGCGGACGAACGGAAGUGUCCGUAUAAGCAUGUAGAGUGAUCUAAUAGGAAAAUCCGUUAGAUUAUACUUAAGGUGUGAUGUAUAGCCGUAAGGUUAAUGCGCAAAUCCCACGCUGCCGAGAAAAGCUUCUAGCGUUAAUGUAUGACUGCCCGUACUGUAAACCGACACAGGUGGUCAGGAUGAGAAAUCUAAGGCGGACAGGCUAACUCUCGUUAAGGAACUCUGCAAAAUAACCCCGUAACUUCGGGAGAAGGGGAGCCCUUAGAUGUUACUAGCUACGCGCUAGAAAGCAUUUGAGGGUCGCAGUGAAGAGGCUCAAGCAACUGUUUAACAAAAACACAGGUCUAUGCUAAGCUGUAAGGCGAUGUAUAUGGGCUGACACCUGCCCAGUGCUGGAAGGUUAAGAGGAGGAGUGAGAGCUCCGAAUUGAAGCCCCAGUGAACGGCGGCCGUAACUAUAACGGUCCUAAGGUAGCGAAAUUCCUUGUCGGGUAAGUUCCGACCUGCACGAAUGGUG
rnacentral:rRNA from 1 species